rnacentral:lncRNA from 1 species
AACAGUAAUUUAGAAAACCUUUUGGUUUUUAUUAUCCUUGUUUUUGCUUAGCCAAUCUCCUCGUAAGCAUUUGGCUGCAGCAAUGUUACAAAAGUUUGCCCAAACACUGGAUUAGCAAAUGGAUUUUUAGAUUAAAAGAUAAUACGUUGCAAAUGCAUGGUUACCAAAUAUCUUUUGCCCCCAUAUUUAGAAAUAACAUACAGAAAUCAAAACAGACCUUGAUGAAAGCUCCUUUCUUGCUUUGGCACAGAAUCUAGUGUUAGAUUCAGAGAGAUUCUGAAUGGACUAAAUAGUGCACUGUAAGAGGUUUUACAAAGAGGAAGGAAAGAGGGAAAAAAACAAGCUUUUCUUCUAAUGCUGGUGGUUCCUGCUAGCUGCAGUGACUUUCUGCAGUUUUCCUGAUUUCUUUACAGAUUUUAUAGCUUAUAUUCAGUCAUCAAAUCUCUCUGCUUCUGCUCUGGUAUUCAGAUGGCAGCCUCCUGUCCACACUACUCCAUUUCACUGGUCAGGGCUCUGAGGCUCUGGGACACAGCCUUGACUGGGUCAACUGCCAUGCAGAAAUUAAUAUUUCAAAUAGACUGUCAGAUCUUUAUGCUCUGAAGGGUUCUCAGAGCCUGGUGGCUCAGCAGCGUAUGUCUGCCUACAGCACGCCAAUGCCAAGCAUCGACAGAGAGAGGUCACCAAGCAUGAAGCUGCUGAAGCAGGCAACACUGGAAAUCUUGGAUACCUCUCGAUAGAUCAAGAAAUCAUUUGGAAGGAGCCAUGAAAUUCCAACAUAAAAGAAUUAGCCUUGCAAAAACCUCUUCUAUUUUACCUCAUAUAUUGUUCAACUCAUAACACUGGGAUAUCUUAGCCUACAGUGAGAACUCAUUUUUAUCUAAUACACAUAAUUAGGCCAAAUCAAUGGAUUACAGAUUAAACAAGCAGGGAAUUUAACUAUGACUGGAAGAACAUUAUGGAUCAGAAGUCCUAAUAAUAUAUGGCCAUCAUUUUAAAAUGCUGGUUAUUUAUUGAAAAUUUUAUCUUGAAGUGGCCUGCAAGAAACUAGCAGCUUUUAAGUUCUUACUAAUUUACUUCACUUGACAACAAAUAUUUAUUUACAUUAAUUUCACAUUUGGUCACAUAUUGAAUGGUUACUGAGCCCUGAGUUUUGCUUGUUUUAAAAUAAAACUGUUAGGUCCUUUGCUUGUUGUUAAAUA